UUAUUACUUGACUGUUUUAUAAAUACAGAACUGAAUAUUGGUACGUCAUUGUAUAGCAAAAUUUAACGUGCAACUUUUCAUUGCAAUUUAACUUGAAAUUUGCGUUAUCAAUUUCUCGAAGAAGAUUAAAAAUGAAACUUGCAUUUGCUUUCAUGAUUAUGAUGGCUAUUGCAAUGAUAUCGACUGUAUCAAGUCAAUCCGACUCUGGUUCAUCAGGAGGAAACAAAACAAAAACAAAUAAGAAUUUUCUUGAUAUUAUAAUGAAACUUGCAUUUGCUUUCAUGAUAAUGAUGGUUAUCGCAAUGAUAUCAAAUCAGUCCGACUCUGAUUCAUCAGGAGGAAACAUAUCAGAAGGAGACAAAUCAGGAGGAAAUGGCGGUAAUCGAUAGUUCAAACAAAUCAGGAGGAAAUGACGGUCAAUCGAUAGUUCAAACAAAAGUUCGAUCUUAGCAUAUAUUAUAAAAAGUUUAAGAGCUGCGCUUCACUUCACUGUCACGCCUAACCAAUUUUAUGUGGAAAAGUUCAUCAAAAGAUUUUAU